GCAAUUCAGCACAUCACUACAACAAAAGACAAAUUUUCAUUUGUUUUUAAUGUUUUACACAAAUAUAAAUAAGUGUAUGGAAUAAGCCACGCGUUCAAUAGCCAAUAACAUUGCAAAUAAAGCAACAAAUAUCCUAGUCAAUUUAUACAAUAUAGUAGUUUAGCAAGGUUAUCAUUUGCAAAGAUGUUUAUCUAAAAAAAUCGAACGAAUUGAUUAAGUAUUACAAAAUUACAUUGAAUAGUUGCUAAGUAAACGCGUUUACUCGAGCAAUGGUUUCGGCAAUACACAAACGCCUGGGGGCUUUAUUUAUCGUGUUAAUAUUUUUGUACCUCUACAUGCGCUUUUUUACGAAUUAUGUUGACUUUACCUAUUUCCACCAAACCCAUGAACGCACAGCCGGAACGCCCUUAUUAGUGACGGUGUAUUACGAGGCGCUAUGUGGUGAUUCUAAGCAUUUUAUAAUCAGGCAAUUGUUACCAGCUUUUAAGCAAGCUGAGCCACUUAUGGAAAUUCAAAUGAUACCUUAUGGCAAGGCAAAAACUUUCACGGAACCAGAUGGCACAUAUCGUUUUGAAUGUCAACAUGGAAGUGUCGAAUGCGAAGGAAAUAUGUAUCAUGCAUGUGCUAUUGAAGCGAUUGAAAGUACAAAGGAUCGACUUAAUGUUAUUGCUUGUAUGAUACGUGAUAAUAGAGCGCCCAAGGAAGCUAUGCAUAAGUGCACCCGUCAAUAUGGCAUUGAAAAUACUGAUCUCAUACAGAAAUGUUUCAAUAGCAGCCAUGGCGGAGAAUUGCUAAAACUCUACGGUGAAGCUACGGAGGCACUUCGGCCGCCAGUUAAAUUCAUACCUACUAUAACACUAGAUGGAUCCCAAUUUCGACAGGCAACUAUUCUAAAAGAUCUACUAGGUGAAGUUUGCAGAACUCUUGGGGAGACAGAGCAAACGAAAAAGUAUUGCAUUUCAUAAAAUAGCGCGGUGGAAAACUUCCUAAAGAAUAAACGUGCAUAUUUUAUUACCACAUAAAGGCCAGAAAUAUGUGUAAGCCACCUUGUCACGAUUACUAAGACAUUAUUGCAUUUCAACAAAUUUCUCAAUAUCUAUUUUCCAAUAUUGAGGUGUAUUAGUGCAAGAAAUCCUCAGCCUGCACAAAACAAACCAUUUUAAAAGUUUUAGUCAUAUAUGUACAUACAUACGUAACCCAAUUGCAUACUCAUUAAAGUGACAAAUAUAUACAAGUGCCGUGUAAAGCAUUUUAUUUGAGAGAAAUUGAAUAAAGUAAAGCAUUUAGUUACGUUUGUGAAUCUACAACUUUAUAUAGCAAUGCUGGUCAUACAUAUUUGCCACUACAAAGAAUUCGCAAAGUUGAUAAUACUAAUAUUUAUAAUGCAUAGCUUAUCUGAAGUACAUAUGUAUGUGCUGAGAACUCGAGCACCCAACUUGGAGAGGAACUGAUAUUGAGCACAAGAAAAUUGGUCUUGUGUGAUUUCUUAGAAAUCGAUUGUUUAUACAAACAUAUAUAUGUAUGUAUGCAUAUCAUAGAAAAAAUUUACUACAUAUAUCUACUUUCUUUAAGUACAACUUUAUUAACAACUACUAAGGCGUCUCAAUUACUAAUAAUUGCUUUCUCAGCAAGUAUUUUUAACAUUUUUAUGCACUUAUUAAAGAAUAAAAGGACACCAAGCGUUUCCAUACAAAUUUAUACAAGCACAUGUACAUUA